UAGGCGUAAAUGAUGCGAGUUAAGUGUGGGGCAUCUACGAGAUGGCCCUGUGCUGUAGGGUAGCCGUUAAACUCGCUGCCUGGGGAGUACGGUCGCAAGGCUGAACUUAAGGAUUGGCGGGGGAGCACCACAACGGGUGGAGCCUGCGGUUUAAUUGGACUCAACGCCGGGAAGCUCACCGGAUAAGACAGCGGAAUGAUUGCCGGGCUGAAGACCCUGCAUGACCAGCUGAGAGGAGUGCAUGGCGUAGUCGUGU
rnacentral:rRNA from 1 species